UUUUACAUUAUAUGUAAUAUAUUUAAUGGAAAUAAUAAUGUGUAGAAUAGUUUUAUACACUCACUCAAUGAUAAUAUAUUAAAAAUAUGAAUUUAUU
rnacentral:miRNA from 1 species